rnacentral:rRNA from 1 species
AUUGAACGCUGGCGGCAUGCCUUACACAUGCAAGUCGGACGGCAGCAUGGAGAGCUUGCUCUCUGAUGGCGAGUGGCGAACGGGUGAGUAAAGCAUCGGAACGUACCGUGUAGUGGGGGAUAACGUAGCGAAAGUUACGCUAAUACCGCAUACGCACUGAGGUGGAAAGCAGGAGAUCGUAAGACCUUGCGCUAUACGAGCGGCCGAUGUCAGAUUAGCUAGUUGGUAGGGUAAAGGCCUACCAAGGCGAGGAUCUGUAGCGGGUCUGAGAGGAUGAUCCGCCACACUGGGACUGGGACACGGCCCAGACUCCGACGGGAGGCAGCAGUGGGGAAUUUUGGCCAAUGGGGGCAACCCUGAUCCAGCCAUGCCGCGUGAGUGAAGAAGGCCUUCGGGUUGUAAAGCUCUUUCGGCCGGGAAGAAAUCGCACAGGCUAAUACCCUGUGUGGAUGACGGUACCGGCAUAAGAAGCACCGGCUAACUACGUGCCAGCCGCCGCCGUAA